GAUGAACGCUAGCUACAGGCUUAACACAUGCAAGUCGAGGGGUAACGAGAGGAAAGCUUGCUUUCCUUGUCGACGACCGGCGCACGGGUGAGUAACGCGUAUCCAACCUGCCCCCAACUAGGGAAUAACCUUGCGAAAGUAAGACUAAUACCCUAUAAUUUCCUCAGAUGUCAUCUGACGAGGAAUAAAGAUUUAUCGGUUGUGGAUGGGGAUGCGUCUGAUUAGCUUGUUGGCGGGGUAACGGCCCACCAAGGCAACGAUCAGUAGGGGUUCUGGGAGGAAGGUCACCCACAUUGGAACUGAGACACGGUCCAAACUCCUACGGGAGGCAGCAGUGAGGAAUAUUGGUCAAUGGGCGGAAGCCUGAACCAGCCAAGUAGCGUGCAGGAUGACGGCCCUAUGGGUUGUAAACUGCUUUUAUACAGGAAUAAAGUUAGCCACGUGUGGUUAUUUGUAGGUACUGUAUGAAUAAGGACCGGCUAACUCCGUGCCAGCCGCCGCAGUAA
rnacentral:rRNA from 1 species